AACGCACAUUGCGCCCCUUGGUAUUCCGAGGGGCAUGCCUGUUCGAGCGUCAUUAUAACCACUUCAAGCCUCGGCUUGGUAUUGGGGUUCGCGGUCUCGCGGCCCUUAAAACCAGUGGCGGUGCCGUCUGGCUCUAAGCGUAGUAAUUCUCUCGCUACAGGGUCUAGGUGGUUACUUGCCAAAACCCCCCUAUUUUCUAUGGUUGACCUCGGAUCAGGUAGGGAUACCCGCUGAACUUAA
rnacentral:misc_RNA from 1 species